rnacentral:rRNA from 1 species
GAGUUUGAUUAUGGCUCAGGACAAACGCUGGCGGCGUGCAUAACACAUGCAAGUCGAACGAAAUCUACAUGAUUUAGUGGCGAACGGGUGAGUAACACGUGAGAAACCUGCCUUACACAGAGGGAUAGCCGUUGGAAACGACGAUUAAUACCUCAUGACACCGUGACAUCGCAUGAUGAUGCGGUCAAAGAUUUAUCGGUGUAAGAUGGUCUCGCGCCUGAUUAGCUGGUUGGUGGGGUAACGGCCUACCAAGGCGACGAUCAGUAGCCGAUCUGAGAGGGUGGACGGCCACAUUGGGACUGAGACACGGCCCAAACUCCUACGGGAGGCACGCAGUGGGGAAUUUUGCACAAUGGGGGAAACCCCUGAUGCAGCGACGCCNCGUGAAGCGAAGAAGGCCUUCGGGUUGUAAAGUUCUGUCCCUUGGUGAAGAUAAUGACCGUACCAGAGANG